rnacentral:tRNA from 1 species
GCCGGGGUGGUGGAAUUGGUAGACGCGCCAGACUCAAAAUCUGGUAUCCUUUGGAUGUGGGGGUUCGAGUCCCCCCCCCGGCACCA